rnacentral:rRNA from 1 species
UGCAGAAUCCCGCGAACCAUCGAGUUUUUGAACGCAAGUUGCGCCCGAAGCCUUUUGGCUGAGGGCACGUCUGCCUGGGUGUCACGC